AACGAACGCUGGCGGCAGGCUUAACACAUGCAAGUCGAGCGCCCCGCAAGGGGAGCGGCAGACGGGUGAGUAACGCGUGGGAAUCUACCUUUUGCUACGGAAUAACGCAGGGAAACUUGUGCUAAUACCGUAUGUGCCCUUUGGGGGAAAGAUUUAUCGGCAAAGGAUGAGCCCGCGUUGGAUUAGCUAGUUGGUGGGGUAAAGGCCUACCAAGGCGACGAUCCAUAGCUGGUCUGAGAGGAUGAUCAGCCACAUUGGGACUGAGACACGGCCCAAACUCCUACGGGAGGCAGCAGUGGGGAAUAUUGGACAAUGGGCGCAAGCCUGAUCCAGCCAUGCCGCGUGAGUGAUGAAGGCCUUAGGGUUGUAAAGCUCUUUCACCGGUGAAGAUAAUGACGGUAACCGGAGAAGAAGCCCCGGCUAACUUCGUGCCAGCCGCCGCCGUAAGAC
rnacentral:rRNA from 1 species